rnacentral:tRNA from 1 species
GCGGGCGUAGCUCAGUGGCAGAGCCCGGGAUUUCCACUCCCGUUACGCGGGUUCGAUCCCCGCCGCCCGCU